UAGGAUGGAUCUGCGGCCUAUCAGGUUGUAGUGGGUGUAAUGUACCUACUAACCUACGACGGGUACGGGUUGUGGAAGCAAGAGCCCGGAGAUGGAUUCUGAGACAUGAAUCCAGUGCCCUACGGGGCGCAGCAGGCGCGAAAACUUUACAAUGCGGGAAACCGUGAUAAGGGAACACUGAGUGCUAGCAUUUAUGUUAGCUGUCCACAUGUGUAAAUAGCAUGUGAUAGCAAGGGCUGGGCAAGACCGGUGCCAGCCGCCGCGGUAACACCGGCAGCCCGAGUGGUGAUCACUAUUAUUGGGUCUAAAGGGUCCGUAGCCGGUUUAAUCAGUCUUCUGGGAAAUCUAAUCGCUUAACUAUUAGGCUUCCAGGGGAUACUGUUAGACUUGGGACCGGGAGAGGUAAGAGGUACUGCAGGGGUAGGAGUGAAAUCUUGUAAUCCCUGUGAGACCACCAGUGGCGAAGGCGUCUUACCAGAACGGGUCCGACGGUGAGGGACGAAAGCUGGGGGCACGAACCGGAUUAGAUACCCGGGUAGUCCCAGCUGUAAACGAUGCUCGUUAGG
rnacentral:rRNA from 1 species